ACUGAUAGGAUCACAUUGGCACCUUAAUUCACGGCACACCGCUCAUCCCUGCGCUGUGGAGAAAACCACACUGUCCGCUUGCUGCUGCUACUUUUACACCAGCAGCAUUCUGAUCCAACCUUGUGAUUCAUGCCUAGGAAGCCUGCGAAUUUGUUUUAAAUUUUCUAACAUCUCUCUACAUUCUAAAGGCUCUUAAGAUUUCCUUUCCAUUACCCCUAAUCUCCCCCAACCCUCCCGGGCUUUCGCACGGUCCUUCCACCACCCGCCCCACCUAUUUUGGGGGUGACCUCUUGUGGUGUUGAACGAGGAGCUCCACAUGGCGUGGCGAGCUGCCACAUUGCCUGGGAUGGGAGGCGUUUCUGGGUGGGCCAUCUGAUCUAGCCGUCCGGCUCGCAGCACUUACCUGAGACACCACAUCAAUGUAAGGGGACUAAAAAUCCACUAAAAAUACAUUUAACAUCAUUGUUCUGUACUAAAUACACAUGAACUGCUUGUAUUGCAUUGUAGCUCACUGCUUCCCUAUUUUUAGGCUUUUCUGUAUUAGCAGACAUAAACUUCAAACGUAAUAAUGUAUUUCCCAAUAUUUAAAUUACAACCAUGAGAUGUCUAACUACUAUUUGUUCCCUUUCAGCUACACAAAAUUCUCUGAAGAAGACCUCUAAAAGGUCGAAACGUUCGUUAGAUAGUUUAUAUUACAAUGCAUAUUUUUGAUCAUAUAAACACCAUUUGUGUACCGUUUUAUACACUCAUGUAAACGCUGUUUGUGCACCCGCUAUAACUCAUGUUCCAUCCACUGUGCUACCCUUCUUUGUUCCCAUUUUUUACAUGUGAAUUAAAUAAA